AAAAACUCUUUAUUCUCCUCUCUUGUUCCAUCUAUCAUUCUUCAAUCUAUGCAUCUUCUUUAACCUUUUCCACCAUCUUCUCGUAUCAUCAUCAAUCUUCAAUAUUCUGUAGAAUCAAAACACAAGAAAAAUAUCUCCCAAUCUUCAGUCUUCAUCACCUUCAUAAUUCUUCAACCUCUCUCAAGCUUCUGCAACAAAGGCUACCAUCAACAUCUUUGACACUUCAUCACCUGCAUCAGAUUGCAAUCUUCAAUCUUCACCUCCUCAUACGCAGCAAUCAUCAUCGGGAUCGAUCCGUGAAUAUCAUCGAUCUUCAGUGCUGA